GCAUAUGAGGGCAAUCUUGCUGAUACAUCUUCCACAUCAUUGAUUGCAAGAAUUGAUUCAGUGAUCUGGAGGUCUUAGAAGGUAUGCUCUUCCUCACCACCCCAUGUGUGUCCCUGCCUGCAGAGGGGAACUGGCCUUCGUUCAAAGAUAUACAAAUGGCUACCCUGCUCAGCUAGAAUCAACAAAAAAGCUGAAGUAUUAGUGGAAUAAGCAAAUUAGGUAUUACUAGUGUCCAUUGCCAGAUUAU
rnacentral:snRNA from 1 species